AACGAACGCUGGCGGCAGGCUUAACACAUGCAAGUCGAACGCUCGUAGCAAUACGGGAGUGGCGGACGGGUGAGUAACGCGUGGGAACGUGCCCUGAGGUACGGAAUAACUGCGGGAAACUGCAGCUAAUACCGUAUGAGCCCCGUGAGGGGGAAAGAUUUAUCGCCUUAGGAGCGGCCCGCGUCGGAUUAGCUAGUUGGUGGGGUAACGGCUUACCAAGGCUUCGAUCCGUAGCUGGUCUGAGAGGACGAUCAGCCACACUGGGACUGAGACACGGCCCAGACUCCUACGGGAGGCAGCAGUGGGGAAUCUUGCGCAAUGGGGCAACCCUGACGCAGCCAUGCCGCGUGAAUGAUGAAGGCCUUAGGGUUGUAAAGUUCUUUUGCCCGUGACGAUGAUGACGGUAACGGGAGAAUAAGCUCCGGCUAACUUCGUGCCAGCAGCCGCGGUAAGACGUAGCGUG
rnacentral:rRNA from 1 species